rnacentral:rRNA from 1 species
CCUACGGGUGGCAGCAGUGAGGAAUAUUUGUCAAUGGACGAGAGUCUGAACCAGCCAAGUCGCGUGAAGGAUGACUGCCCUAUGGGUUGUAAACUUCUUUUAUAAAGGAAUAAAACGAGGCACGUGUGCCUUUUUGCAUGUACUUUAUGAAUAAGGAUCGGGCAACUCCGUGCCAGCAGCCGCGGUAAUACGGAGGAUUCGAGAGUUAUCCGGAUUUAUUGGGUUUAAAGGGAGCGUAGAUGGGUUGUUAAGUCAGUUGUGAAAGUUUGCGGCUCAACCGGAAGAGUGCAAUUGAUACUGGGAGACUUGAGUACAGUAGAGGGAAGCGGAAUUCGUGGUGUAGCGGUGAAAUGCUUAGAUAUCGAGAAGAACCCCGGUUGCGAAGGCAGCUUACUAAACUUUGACUGACGCUGAGGCACGAAAGUGUGGGGAGCAAACAGGAUUAGAUACCCGAGUAGUC